GGCUUUUUAGUUUUUAAAAUAAUUUAGUUAUGCUGUUGUCUUCAUCUUCUGUUACCAAUCAAUUGGAGCUACAAAAAAAAAUCAUAUUAUUAACUUGUAAAAUGCAGUAAAUCUGGGCUGCAGACCAGGAGUCUUAAUUACCCUCCUAUUCUAAAGUGAAUAGCCCUUUUGUAAUAAACUCAUCAAAGCCAAGGGAGCUAGGGAGCAGGGAUGGAGGAAGAACUGCCUUGAGUGCUCUUGGGAUAGUAGUCUGAGUAACACUUGAAGAACAGCCUUCAGGAUGCUGCACUCAAUAGCAGCCCCAAGGCUCCUCCCGCUUACUCUCUGAGUAUAACUGAAAGAUUGAACAACAGAGCUGAGACUGUUAGACCCACAUGUAAACUGUCACCCAUUUGUAACAGCUACUUCCUUCUUUGCUACAUGAAACUCCUGGGGAUGGUUUUCUUCCUACCUCAAACUUACCUUCCUGUUUAGUCACCUCUGUGGCAACGACAGAACAAUCUCUGGCUGUCUUGGAGUAAAUCAGCCGAAAAACAAAACCGCAUCCUUGAGCAAGCCCUCAAACCGAGUCCAUUUCCCGGCCUCCUCCCCCGUGGUCUGCGUAUUUCCACAGAGCUCAAAAUCAGACCAGGCCAGAGCUCCCCAAACAUUUGUAUCUCAUUGGUAACAAGAAUUCAUGAGAAAUUAGUGCUGUGGUCACAGGGGUGAGGUAAAGGACAGCAAACUAGAAGUUUCCCUCCUUGGGAGCCUCACAGAACAUGAAAUGGGUGCUGUGACUUUCUGAGGGGGAUAAAGUGGGAAAUGUUUGUAAACCAGCUUGGCUCCUGCCUGAGAUCCCACCUGUAAAUCUUUCUUCUCGGAGAAAUAGGACUCCCUGCUUCCUUUUUAAUUUGGCUAACUUUGUGAUCUGUUUUCUAGACACUUACACAAAAAAUACCAGGGCACUCAGAAAUUGCCUACGUUGAACUGCCUGGGUGAGAAGUGUGGCGUGGCCAUUUCCCGUCAGAUGUCUGCUAUCUACUCAUCUGUCCUCUGUUGUUCCUAAUUGGGUUUAGUUCUUCCUGCUCCUGCCCUCGCGCAGCUGGGGAAAUAUUGCAUUUGUUCCUACUUAUGCUUGCCCCUUUCUCAUCUCCUCCCCCGAUCUCCUCCAUCUCCACCAUAUACAGAACCUUUUAACAUUUUAAUUUAACUUAAUUUUUUUGAUGCCCAGGCUGGUCUCUUAACUCCUGGGCUCAAGAAAUCCUCCCACUAACUCCUAAACUCAAGCGAUCCUCGCACCUCAGCCUCCCAAGUAGCUGAGACUACAGGUGUGUGCUACCAUACCCAGCUUCAUAACCCUUUAGUAACUGAGCUUAGAGAAUUCCCCCUGCUGCCACAAUGGGUUCUUUAAAUUUAAAAAUAAUUAUUAAAUAGGCAGUAAACACACAUGAUGCAGAACUUGAAUAGUAAAUAAAAAUAUACCAAGAAAAGUAAGCUCCUCUCUCAAUCUCAGCCCCAAAUACUCAGGUCUCUCCCUAGAAUGCCACCUUAGAGAGGUCAGUGUUACCUUUCUAGACUCAUCAUUCCAAAGCAGUGCUUUUCAUGCAAAAUGUUCCUGCUCAAGAACCUAUAAUGGCUGCUUAUUUCCAUAUCACUCCAUUCUAAGGACCUCCUUGCAAAUAUUCAGUGUCUUUUGCCUCUACUUCAACUCGAUGCCAGGCAGGUCAAUCUUACUAUCAAAUAAAUCACAACAGAUUUAAUUCCCUCUCAUGUAUUUGCCUCCGCUGUUUAUCCCACCUGGAAUGCCUUUUCUACUCCACUCUUGUUCUGAAAAUGUAGGUCACAUCCUACCCCCUCCAAAGCUUUUCUGAUUAUUCUGGCCUCUCCAAUUCCUCUGCGUUGGUUGCUCAGCCCUUACCCUCAUAUCACACAUUCUGCCUAUCACCUGUGCUUCCUGCCUAAGUCCUUCUAAGAGUUUCGUAUGCUCAUGUGCAUCCAUUCUCUCUCCCUGGUGUGGCCACAAGCUUCUUGUGGGAGGAGCCCUAUUAUAUGCUUUCUCUGAAUCCCACACAAUGUCUAGCCUCGCUGGGUACUCUGACCCCCACCCUAUCAGCUAGCACAGUGCCUGGUAUCGCAUAAUCUCCAUAACGUUUGUUGUGAUGAAAGGAACAGAGGAAGGGAUGAGUUCCAGAAUGCCCAUCCCCUUUCCCCGUGGCCCUGGAUGAUGCCCCCCUACCCCCAUCAUUGGUAGUGAUGGCUAUGCCUCCCCCAUCCACUCAGAGUUCCCCUCCACUGUAACCACCUAGAUCUCAGCAGAGACCUGACUUGGCUCUCACACUCACCUGGGGCUCACGCAUAUUGCUCAGAUCUGAAAUGCCUUCCUCUGACCACAAGCCUGGAGGUCCCUACCUCUCCCACCUCACCUCAUCUCCAGCUACUUGGCUCCUCUCUGCCCAGCCUCCUGGCCCAUCAACCCCUCAUGGCCUUGGGUCCUCCCAGCUUGGGUCUGUGGCCGGCUGAGCUGCCCCUUGUACUUCCUUGCCCCCAGGCCUCCUGCCACAGCUUGUUUCUCCUGCACUGUUCCACCUGGCAGCUGAGGAGAAAGGACACCUGUGGCCCAUCCAUCGAUCCCACCUCACCUAGGCCCUUGCUGCUGCUUAGCCACCCUCACUUCAUCCCUGCACUGACCACAGCAACCGACUCCACAAAACCAAAGGUCUUAACCCCUCGCCUACCUCCUUGUCUCUGCAGCUUUAACAUGUAGCCUCCUCCCUCGAGUCUCUAACCCGGGGCUACCCUGGCUCUGAUCCUGGACUUUGCUUCCCCAGUCCCGCCUCCUCUGCCUCUUCCCAUCACCCUAGGGCAUCUAGCUUUUCUUUCUUAGUGACCUCAGGUGCUCACGGCAUCAAUUACUGUCCAGAUGAAGAGGCGCCCCAAUCCGUAACUCUAGCGUGAAGCCCACGCUCCAAUUCUGUGCAUGGACAUCACUAGCCAGGUAAUACACCAGCACCCCAAAAUCAACCUGUCAAAGCAAAAAUUCAUAAUUUUCCUUCCCAACCAAGAUUCCUGUGUGACUCCUCUGUGACACUUGGUCCUGUCGCUUUUAUUUUUCUUGAAAAAUAAUAGUAACAAUAGUCAUAAUGGCUAACAUUUAUUGAAAACUAUUAUGAGCCAGCCACUAUUGUAAGCAUUGUACUUAUAUUAAUAUAUUUUGACACAGUUAUUUCUAUGUGAUUAUCUAUGCUAUCAUUGUCAUUUCUAUAUUAUCAUUAUGCCCAUUUUCCACAGAAGACAACCAAAGCACAGAGAGUUUAAGUGACUUGUCCAAGGCCUGUGAGAAAUGGAGCUGGCAUUUGAACCAGGGAGUUUGGCAUCAGAGCCUACACUGCCAGAUGAAAGUUUUGCUAACAGGACCUCUGCUGUUUCUCUCAAACCUAGCUCUGCAUAUUCAGUUCUGCCACCAUCACCUUGACUCAGGCCCUCUUCUCUGCUUGGCUGGAUUAUUUCAUUACUCCACUAACCAGUGUCCUCAUCUCAUCUCCUAUUAAUUAGUCCCAUGCUUUGCCAGCAGAGUGAUCUUACUAAAGCAUAGUUCUGCUAGAAAACUCUGCGGUUCUCCCUAAAGAAUGACCCAAAGCCUCUCUCAAAGUCUCAGCCUGGCCCAACCUGCCAGCCCAGCCCCAUCUUUCUCUAAUGCCUCAACACUCUCUGCUCCAAAGAGGAUGGCUUGCUACUUCUUGUCCUGCCCUUCACACCCUGGGCCUUAACUCUUCCCCUCAUCCCUCAACACCCAGCUCAUGCCUCUGCCUCCUGACCACCAGUGGGAUCUGCCAGGAGGGGGCCUCUUGGAGCACCCUACGGCGGUUUAUUAAACCAACACUGCUGCUAAUUGUGUUUGUGUCCUAUCUUUUAUAUGUGACUACAGG
rnacentral:lncRNA from 1 species